rnacentral:tRNA from 1 species
CGGGCGUGGCGGAACUGGUAGACGCGCUGGAUUUAGGUUCCAGUGGAGCAAUCCGUGGGGGUUCGAGUCCCUUCGCCCG